UUAGCAUACAGCAGCUCUUUGACUAUUAUCAUGAUAGUAUAAAUUUAAUAUUAAUUAAAUUUCUAUAUUUUCUAUUAUUUUUUUUAUUUAAAACUUGUAACUUAUUGCUGGGCUAAAUGAAUCGUACUAUUUAAUAUGAGACAGAGAAAAUCAUGUUCAAAACGCAAUAUCAUAGCAAUGUUGAACGACACUAGUGGGAGCGAUGCUUAUGUCUAUCGGCCGAUAAAUCCGGCUGACAUCUUUGGUAAUUGUAAAAAAUGUUUCAUUUGACACAAUGCUAUUUAGUCCUCCACGACACCGGGCUAAAACAUAAAUUGAUGACCGAAAAUCGGUGUGACAACAACUAUUGGCCGUUAUUCAGUUGGCUGUCUAGCGACAACUGAUAAGUGUGAAAACGGAAAUUCUCUUAAAGAAUUCAAUUUUUAAGGCAUUUAUUAGGCAAGUCAUUUCUCAAUUUAAGAAUAUUAUUUUUGAAGGAUCUGGUAAUAUUGACUUUAAUAGCUUUAAUUAUAAUUUAUUAUAUUCGAGUAAAACAUAAAUUCUAAAUAAGACAUGAUUUAGAGAUACUUUUACAAUAUUAUUAUUAUUAUUAUGACUCUUUUCACAGGUUCCUAUUUGACAGGUUUUUAAAAUCAAAUUUUUUAUGUAUUGUUUUUCCAAGGCUGUCAGUAGAUCUUUUACUUCUGAAAUUUUAGUUUUUUUUUUCAAUUAGAAGAAUUUGAAUUUUUUAAUAAUAUUAGCUUUAACUACUCUUUUUUAAUAAUGUAUUACUACUACUGUAGUGGUUAAAAAACACAUAAUCUGAAGAAUUAUUACAUUAAUAAUUCUUAAAAUACAGUUUUUGUAAUUGAAAAUUACCAUAUACAGUACCAGUAUCCAAUUGUUAUCCACUUGACUGGUUCAAAUGAUUCUUUAUAAUCUUAACAUUAUAACCCAGAUGAAAUUGCCCAGAACCAUCUCUAAAUUAUCAUAGACGUUCACAUUUUCCAAAUUCUUACGUCUUUUCAAUUACAAAAGCUACAUUUUAUGAUUUUCUAUACACUAAAGAACUACUUGUAUUAUUUUUUGUAUCCUUGCUCGUUAUUUACUUGAAAAAUAUUUUUAAUGCACAUUCCUUUAUUACUAGUUUAAUUAGGAUAGUUUUCUUUAUAUACUUUAUGAAGUGAAGUUCAAAACUUGAAUUUAAACUUAUAGUUUAAACGUUGAUUUAAACUUGAAUUUAUUUUUUCUAGUUAGAAUAUUUAUUUUUAUAGACUAUUUAUAAACUAUUUAGGUAACUUUUAAUAUUCAACGAGGUUGAUAAGUGGAGUAUACAUGAAUAUUGCUUCUCAUAAUAUGAUAAAUCCAAUGUACCUAGAAUGCACUGAAUUCUAAGUACACUGGAUAAAUGUGUUAAGUUUAUUAUUUUAUUUUCUUCCAAUUUGCUCUUCUUCGUUUAUUGAAGUUUUACUUCUAUAAUGGGCUGAUUUGUUUGUGUAAGUCCAGCCAGCAAAUAUAUAAACCUUAUAAAAAACUUAUCAAGUGCCAUUUCUUACUGUUCAUUAGUUUACUGAAUUAUUUCUAUAAAUCCUUCAUUUUUUCCCUAUAAGUUGAUUGCGAAUUGGAUGUUAAAGGAUGUAUUAAUAAUAAAUAAUAUCAGAGAUUAGAGGUUUAUCAGAGAUUGACAAUGGUGUAACAACCGAAACCAGUCUUUCUAAGUAUCAAUAAAUCUUUGGUUUUUGACAAUUUCUUAGUAUUUUUAUUUAAUAAUAAAUAAUAUUUACGUCAAAGCUACAUUGGUAUCAGUAAUCAUCUAUUACAGAUGCGUUCUUGAAAUAUGCUUGAGAUCACUUGGUAGAGAUUGAUAUUCUUUCUAAAUUUAUUGAAAGUUUAUAAAUUGACCAUAAAAAUUAGUAUGGUAAUAUAAAUUGAAAAAGAGAUAAUAGAAAUGAAAGUAAUAAUAUUAUUGAACAAUUGGAUAAUUGAUAAAAUUGUAAACUAUGAGAAUAGAUUGAAUAAUUGUUACCUUUUUUAUCAAUGAGCAAACUAUGCUCACAGCAGCUCAAAAAAGGAAGCAAAUUUAUUAAAUAAUCCUAUGAUGAGAUCAUUUUAAAUUGUCAGCAUUGUUUGAAAGUGAAGCAUUCAAGUUAUCGAUAGGAGUGCUGAAAGUUUGAAGUGAAUCUCACUAAAAAUAGUAUUCAAUCAUUGAUGUCAACAUUUUGAUUUCAAUUUAAAAACUAUAAAUUCUUAAUUUUAAAAUAAUUUAUUGUACAUUAAUUCAUUCCUAUUCAAGGCAGCUACUAGAUGUCUAGGUUCAAGUCUUGAUAUUUCCCAAAAUGUUCCUUUUUUAAUAACGCAAGAUAACCUGGAACUAUAUUCUUCCUUCAAAUUCGAGGUUUACUUGGGUCCAAAUGGAUUAUUAUUUUAGUGAAUAACUCGUGAUAGAACUUAUCCUAUUUUGUAAGUUAUUGGAGUGUCAUAUUGCAAUAAUAUGAUUUGUAUUGCAUUGAAUGUGUAGAUGAAGAUCCAAUUGAAGCUACUUAGACUAAAUCUAUGAGAAAGACAUUUAAUCUAUCUCCACUGAUUGCAUUUUAUGAAAUUUAUAUCUUUCCAACUUUUACAGUUAUCAAGUUCGAAAAUAAAAUCUACUUUUCAAGAUUAAAUCUUUCUUUUUUUACUUGAGACUUGAUACACUUAUUAUACAUUCAAGUGGUUAAAAUUGUAGUAUGUUUAAACAUUUUUUAAUUAUGAGAUAAUUAAAUAACCAUGGAGAUGAUACUACUACUCUAAUGUUAGUUUAUAAAUUGUAAUUACUAUAUUUUUACAUUCCAUUGUCUUAGAACUGUUGACUUAUUUUACCUCAACAAUUUUUGUAAUGUUGUUUGUUGAGACUGAAUCUGUUCUUUAUUGGUGUUGCAUAAUAUUCUAUCAAAACUUUUGUUAUGAUAACUCUUGUAAAUAGUGAUAAUUAUUUUAAUUAUAUAACGAGAUAACAAAUUAAAUUAUUUGAUAUUGAA